GUUCUCACUCAUGCAGCAUAUACACUAAAAUUGGAAUAACGCAGAAAAGAUUAGCAUGGCCACGUGCAAGGGUCAUAUGCAAAUUCAUGAAGCAUUCCAUAUUUUU